CAUAAAGAUGUGUUCUUCCAAAGGACAUAGCUUUUGGAUGAUAUCCUUUGAAUUACUGUAUAAUCUGAUACAGAAAUAUGAGAGGUAUCUAUUCUUUCUGAGUUUUGUAUUUUCAUCGUAUUAUUUUGCAUACCAACGGUUCUAAUUGUUUAUCUUUCUUUAAGUAUGUAGACUUAGAGGAAGAAGAUUAGAGUUGGACAGUGUAUCCUGG
rnacentral:lncRNA from 1 species